AAAUUGGCACUCGAAGAGACCAUACACAUUGGAUGUGCACCUCAGUUCAGUGUUUACACAUCAGUAGAGCAACUUCUCAAUUUCAGUAAAAGAACUAACAUAGGACAAAUUUUUUGCUUGCACUGAAGAUUGGAUCUUUGUUCCUCAAAACAUUACAUUCUUUGUUCCUCGAUGCAAUAAAACUUAAAAAAUGGAACCUUUUGACAGUCAGAGAAUGAUCAUUUUUCUAAAAAAUAAGCAGAAGAAUUAUGGGAAAAAAAACUGGACCGGCCCUAGGACCUGGGCUAGCUUAAAGCCUCCGAGGCCCGUAGUAAGCCUAACUGUUCAUUAACCCAACUCUAAGGCCCAUUGGGCCCAAA
rnacentral:misc_RNA from 1 species